rnacentral:rRNA from 1 species
AGAUUGAACGCUGGCGGCAGGCCUAACACAUGCAAGUCGAGCGGCAGCACGGGUACUUGUACCUGGUGGCGAGCGGCGGACGGGUGAGUAAUGCCUAGGAAUCUGCCUGGUAGUGGGGGAUAACGCUCGGAAACGGACGCUAAUACCGCAUACGUCCUACGGGAGAAAGCAGGGGACCUUCGGGCCUUGCGCUAUCAGAUGAGCCUAGGUCGGAUUAGCUAGUUGGUGAGGUAAUGGCUCACCAAGGCGACGAUCCGUAACUGGUCUGAGAGGAUGAUCAGUCACACUGGAACUGAGACACGGUCCAGACUCCUACGGGAGGCAGCAGUGGGAAUAUUGGACAAGUGGCGAAAGCCUGAUCCAGCCAUGCCGCGUGUGUGAAGAAGGUCUUCGGAUUGUAAAGCACUUUAAGUGGAGAAGGCAGUUACCUAAUACGUAUCUAGUUUUGACGUUACCGACAAGAAUAAGCAACGGCUAAACGUCUAGUGA